CCUCGUCUGCUCUGUACAGCUACAAAGAGUCCUGAAAUCUUUUGUGAAAGUGCAAAUCAGUUUCAGCAAUUAUCAUACCAGGAAUAUGAGGAAAGCGGAGGCAGCGCCAAUGGCCGGUGCUACGGCGUAUUCUAUGGCUGGGGCAUUUGAUUAACAAUAUGCAAGACUACACAACUUCAUUACUCACUAUCUCAGCGUACACCAAGCGGCGCUGACGACCCUGCUACCGCUGAAUACACAUGAGCUUUCCCUGACCGGCUAAAGAAGGAUUUUAUACCAGGUCUGUUCAAACUAGAUAAUUAUAUCUUUUCAAGUUGGAAUUAAGAUAAAUAACUGGAGGAAAAGGCGGCUUGCCUUGAUCCCUUGAACCAAAUUCGGCGCACUUUUUCUAAGCAUCAGACAGUGACAGGACAGUUAAUUCAGUAAAGUUCCUGUAUCUUGUCCCGCUGACUCCAUUUACUCAUUUUCUCGAUGGCAAAAAAAAAGCUGUGUGCUAAUUAUGCUGCAAAUUUUGCUGUUGUUUAAUUAUGCCAUUCUACAUAUAAAUUUCUCGAAUAAAGUAUCCGCUUUCAUCAUUUCCAAGCUCCGAAUGUCAUUGCAUAGAAAAAACUCACAAUAAUAAAAGCCCGUAAUUCUUAAUCCCCGGUGGCACUGUUUAUUGUGUGUUGCUGUGUUAAAAUCAUCUCCUAUUGUGGAGAUUUAGGAUUAAUAUUGCCAUUAAAAUAUCAAAGUGAUAGGUCUAGUUAAU